rnacentral:rRNA from 1 species
UACGCAGGGUGCGAGCGUUAAUCGGAAUUACCGGGCGUAAAGCGUGCGCAGGCGGUUUUGUAAGCCAGGUGUGAAAUCCCCGGGCUCAACCUGGGAAUGGCAUUUGGGACUGCAAGGCUGGAGUGUGGCAGAGGAGACUGGAAUUCCUGGUGUAGCAGUGAAAUGCGUAGAUAUGCGGAGGAACACCGAUGGCGAAGGCAAUCCCCUGGACCUGUACUGACGCUCAUGCACGAAAGCGUGGGGAGCAAACAGG